CCUACGGGGGGCAGCAGUGGGGAAUAUUGGACAAUGGGCGCAAGCCUGAUCCAGCAAUGCCGCGUGUGUGAAGAAGGCCUGCGGGUUGUAAAGCACUUUAAGCAGGAAAGAAGGGGUGAAAGUUAAUACCUUUCAUCAUUGACGUUACCUGCAGAAUAAGCACCGGCUAACUCCGUGCCAGCAGCCGCGGUAAUACGGAGGGUAAGAGCGUUAAGCGGAAUUACUGGGCGUAAAGUGAGCGUACCGUCGUGAAAGCCCUGGGCUUAACCGGGGAACUGCGGUGGAUACUGUCGGGCUAGAGUGUGGUAGAGGGGAGUGGAAUUUCCGGUGUAGCAGUGAAAUGCGUAGAGAUCGGAAGGAACACCAGUGGCGAAGGCGGCUCCCUGGACUAACACUGACGCUGAGGUGCGAAAGCGUGGGGAGCAAACAGGAUUAGAUACCCCAGUAGUC
rnacentral:rRNA from 1 species